GAGCUGCCCGCCGACCCCUUCGCCCUAGCGCCCUUCCCUGCGAGGUCGGGCCGCCAGAGGCCCUAGGGCGCUGCGGAGCCCCGACCUCGCGGCCGGCCCCCCAGAAGGCACGGGGUCCCCCGAGCCCCGACCUCGCAGCUGACCCCGGAACACGCGGGUCCCCGAGCCCCGGCCUCGCAGCUGACCCUUACAGCUGACCCCCCAGAAGAGACGGGGCCCCCUGAGCCCCGACUUUGCAGCUGACUCCCAGGAGACGCGGGGUCCCCUGAGCCUCGACCCUCGCAGCUGACCCCCCAGAAUAGACGGGGUCCCCGGCCCCGACCUCGCAGCUGACCCCGGAACACACAGGGAGCCCUAACCUUGCAGCUGACCCCCCAGAAGACACGGGGUCCCCGAGCUCCGACCUCGCAGCUGACCCCUGAAGAUGCGGGGAGCCCCGAGCCCCGACCUCGCAGCUGACCCCCAGGAGACGCGGGGUCCCCUGAGCCUCGACCCUUGCAGCUGACCCCCCAGAAGAGAUGGCCCCCACCGAGCCCAGACCUUGCAGCUGAGCCGGGAACAGGCGGGGAGCCCCGGCCUCACAGCUGACCCUCCCCAGAAUAGACGGGGUCCCCGAGCCCCGACCUCACAGCUGACUCCCCCCCCCCCCCAGAAGAGGUGGGGCGGCCCAGCAGCCUCCAGUUCCACGCGGCCAGUGACCCCAGUGACAGUGACACUCAGUGGAACCCCCGUAAGUUAUGAUCAUUUCCCUUGUGGAUGCAGAUUUCGGACCUCCCGGCACCUCGCCUCUGCCUGCGCCCAGAACUCUGCUCUCUCCGCCCCCCAACUGUUGAAGUCUGGGAAGGCGUCCCCCCCAACCCCAAAGGGGCCAGGCUCCCCCAGGUUCUGGUCCUGCGGGUCCCCGGUGACUGUGGCCCAAGGACUCAAGGUCCACCCUUGGGGACCCGGUGUGAUGCUUGGUGAAGGGGACGUGGCCCGAGGAGGUGCAAGGGGCCUGUGCAAGCCCAGGGCCGCGGGUCCUGCCCACACCAGUCGUUCCUGUAAAACCAGCAGCCCCACCGGGAGCCCGGGGAGCGCGUGGCCCUGCGAGCCAGGCUGGCCUCACACGUGAGUGAGUGCGGGUGUGUAACGGGAGUCAGAUCCUUUCCUUCUGUCGAAGUGUGCCAGUGCUGAGCCUUCGCACGCCCGUGCUUGUUAAAUCCCUGUGAGUGCACAGGUGCGUGUGCACGUGCACGCGUGUGCCAGAGAGCAUUUCCCCGGGUCCAGCCGGCCUCCCUCCGCCUACCUCCACGGCCCCUCAUUUCCUGGCAUCAGGCUCCUGGCCUGUCGCAGCUCCUGUUUUUACUUAGUCGCGUCUUGUGGCGAGAUCGAAUUCGUUGGAAGGUGUGGGAAAAUUCUGCCGAAACUGAGGUUUCGGAGAUUCUUUUAUUUCCUCCAAAAUUUGCUAUUAACAAAUUCCCUUUGCACGGUCUUAAAAAUUAAUUAUGCUCUUUCCCUCAGAACAUUAGAAAAGAGCACCUUGUGGCGGCUCUAACCCCUGGGCACGUGGUCUCAGCGAUAACGUACCUAGACCCUCAGGCCUGAGCACGCCACCUGCCACCUGCCACCUGCCACCGUGGGAUGCGGCUCGAGACUCGGCUCCAGAUGAGAUCGGCUUGUGGGUGCUUGCCCAUUCCUUGCCCCCUUUCUCCGCCGCCCCUUGAGGAAAAAUCUGAGACCCAUAAAUCAGUUGGGAGAAGAGUAAGGAGCCGAGUCCGCGAUCCCUGCAAACGUUCUGAUCCCCCAUCCUCUGGAGACGUCCAGGUAGGCCAGGUGGGCGACUGACUUGUGUGUUUGCAAGGUCUUCUAUUCCGGGCAAGAUCUGGCCGCCCGGCUGCUUCCGCGGCCUUUGUUAUUAGUGCCUUAAGGUGAGACUUCGGUGUCUCCACGGGAACAUCUCUGCUGACGAAGUUCAACCUCGUGGGAGGAGCUGCUGCACCAUGUUUCAGCCUGAAAGCUCCCGGUGACUUGUCGUUGACGUCAGCGAUGUCUCCAGUCGCUGCAGGAGUCGGGAGAGUUGCUCACCCAACCAGGUUAAGGAUUCAAGAAUUGGAAAUUCGUCCAAGAAUCAAGCCAGAAUGCCAGACUUGAUCGCAGUUGAUGAGGGGUCAUACUCUUUCAAUCGGUGGCAUCUUAGGGGUAGGACAUGAACAGCAACUUCACAAGACUUUUUCUAGUUCGGCCUCCACCUAUUUCAAAUGUCCAGGUUAAAAGAUAAACUUAAAUAAUCGGCACUGGAUCAGGGCUCUCAGCAAUGGUCUUCCAAGUGAGGUUCCGACCACGACACUCUUUCCCUCUGGGGAAUGUUAAAUGUUCCUUCGCAGAGGUUGCUUUUCUCCCGGUGAUUAUUUCUAGUUAUUUUGUGUAACAGUGGAUGCAAAAAUCAUCUCUCCAGUUGGAUAAAUAGUCUGGGCUCAUGCAUAUGGAACUUUGCACCCCACACUCUAACCUUGGUCGUUAUCAAGUAAAGCCCCCCAAGGCAGGCGCUGAGAGGAUAGGAGCAUUGGGGGAGAGUUCUUACCCCAAGUCAGGAACUCUUCAAGGGGAAGGCCAUUCUCACUCACUCUUCCAAAAAUUCAGGAUUGCCUCUGUAACAGCCUGCAAAAGGUCCUUCCUUUGGCUAUUUAAUUGCUUCUUCCUAAUCAAGUAUCCAUUUUAGCUCUCCAGGUAAAAUCAGUAAAAUCAUGGUGAUUUUAAUCACAGAGUUGAAUCAUUUGUCACGCGUGGGCUGAGUGAAGCAUGAAAAAUUUUUGACUAUACUACCUUACGUAUUAGCUAAUAACUAGUAAAUUCUGCAUCGAUCUUUGGAUCAUAUAGGGUAAAAGCAUCAUUUAAAGAUAAAAUAUUCUUGCCAGAGGCCAUCCUGAAUCUGGAAUUCUAGAAAAUUUAGUGUUAAGGGAUUUAGGGGUGCUCAGGGUGCUUUAAAUUAGCAAAUGCAUGUUUCCAACAACUAUACCGCAACAGGUUAACAUUAAAGAGAAAAAGAGGAUAUAUAGUCAACAAAAUGCUACACCUCUUAGUUUUCUGUGUUAUUUGCUCUACACAUCUGAUGGGGAUGCAAGAACUUGUGCCUUUGCAUUUCAGUGGAGUGCAAUGAGCCGGAAUAUAUUUAGACAUAAAGCAUUGAAGCACAACGCGCGCUGAAGAACUCUUUUAAAGAAUCUGUGUUAAUUGACCAGCGACACCAUUGAAUUAAUGAAGUUACAUUAUGUGUGGUGGAAAAUAUUUACCUUGAGUUCACAUACGGCCCGUUAGGCUCCCAAUCCUUGUUAAUUGGAACAAAACGAGGCAGAAGCAGAAGCUGGGCAGGACCUAAGGGAAUCUAGGUCAUAAAUUCAGUUUCAUUUUGGGCUCAGUUAUCAUUGAGUUGGAAAUUUCCUAUGUGUCGACUGGUGUGCACCUGUCCACGUCCCCAUGUUUGGUCUCAGUUUAAUCUGACAACCGACUUUUGUUUGUUUGUUUGUUUAAACCUUCCAGAAAAAAUACCAGCAUCUUAUUGGCCCAUUAUUUAUUUAGUAAAUUUAGAAUACAUGAACAUCAGUGUUUUAAACUGUUUGGUGGACAUUUCACUGACUCAAAGUAGCAGUUUUCAGUUUUACUUAAAUGUGAUCACCAGAGUGAUCUGCCAAUAUUAAUUCAAUCAUGCUGUGUUUGCUUCUAUAAAGAAAGGUCAUCAGAACAUGGAUCGUAUGAUUUGUAUUCAUUUUCCCACAUAGGAAAUUUUAUAGGAAACUGGAGAAGGGUGAGCUCCAACCCAUUCUCUAGCAGGAAGGAUACAACUUAAAAUGGAGUCGCUCGGGUGAAUAAAGAAAAAUGUUAUUCCAUGCUGUGUCUGUGGAAUUGAAUUUCAAGAAUACAUGCCAGUCAACUCUGGAAUGGCUGCUGGUCACAUAGAUGCAUUUUUAUCUGAGAAAUCUGGAACUUGGAUUAUUUUGAUAAAAGGGACGUAGGAGAGCUGCUGGGAAGACCGCAGCUUCUAAGGAGGUAGAAGCACUUUUGUAAAUGCCCAUAGUCACCCCCGGGGUUCUAAUCCUCCAAUCCUGCCUCAUGGAGUAAACGUGAAGAUUUUAAAUGGAAUCAUGUAAUUUAAAUUCCUCAUUUUUCAAUGCCUUUGUCAACUCCUCCUUGUAGUUUUUGUUUCUUGUUGUUUUUUUUAAACCAUCAACACUUGCAAACUUGUGACGUUCACUUGAAGACUUCAAGAUGCUUGAAAAUAAAAUAAAAUAAAAUAAAAUAAAGUAGUAUCUGGUUGGGAAUUGUUUCUAUGCUCUUUUGCUAUAAAAUAAGUUUUCCAGGUUGCUGAAAAUACCUAGCUGCCUCAGCUUAGAUGUGAGAAUCCACCCUGGCUAUGUCUUGAUUCCCCAGGGGUCACCUUGCUCUCCGACUUCCAGUCCUACCUGCCUCAUUUGAACCUUGACCUUUAUUAGCCAACAGGCCUCCCUUGUGGUAUCCAACGUCCCGUCCCUAAAACGUUGCCGACGCAGCUCUCCCCUGCGGCUUCUCUGCUCCUGCAGGCCUUCCUGGCUCCUCUUGUUCCCGUUCCCACUUGGUUUCCCCACUAACAUUCCCCCACUAUGGCCACACCACCAAGAGGAUGAAUGAGAGGCAUGACUGGAUGAUCAUGGUAAUUUCUAUGUGCCUUUGUUACUGUAAACAGUUUCUUCCUAAGUUCCAGCCUGACCCGUGAUAAUCUCACCACCCUGGAGGAACUCCAAGUAAGCUGAAUGGCUCACCUUCCCGCUCCUUACGGACUAGAAGAGCAGACGAAGCGAGGUUGGCAGGGGUCCAGCCUUACUCCGGAGACACAGCCCAAAGGCAUCUCUCCACCGUGACCUGACACGGGCUCGGUGCGCCCCGAGUGCAGGGGAAAGUUCAGGUGUGAAGGGGCUCCAGAAGGGCUUGCAAAGACGGCCGAUUGCUACCCAGCACACUGGGGCCUACUCCAGUAUUCCCAGAACUCAGUGAUUCUGUGAGACAUUUAGCCCGAGCACCUUCCCAGCGGUCUCAACGUGGGUGACGCUGUUGUGCGUUUAUAAUACAAUGUUGUGUUCCUGAAAUGUGCAUUGCAUUGUGAUGGGACCGCGUAUACGUAUUAAAGGGGUCUGUGGGAUUCCUUUCGGCGGAGAAUUGCAGAACUGGUUUUUGUCGUUGUGUUUUUGUUUUGUUUUUGUUUUUGUUUGUUUGCAGAAAUGGUGUCUAACAAUGUCAGUUAAAGUGAGACUUUGGAAGUAAGAGAAGGCAGUGUAGCCUUUUCACUCUGAAAUGGCAAAUCAUUGUAUUCUCUGAGUCUACCGAAGACUCCUGUUUGAGGAUUGUGAUUGGAGAGGCACGCGCGUGUGUGUGUGUGUGUCUGUCUGUCUGUCCGUCCUCAUACUUUCUGCCAUGGUGUUAAGACCUCCUUAUGAAGGCAUCCAAAGUAUAGCAAGUGGUGACAAUAGGUAGUUGGCCUGAGUAAACUCAGUCCCAUUUGCCAACAACUCAGAGACCUGGAGUUGUUCUAGGUAAUGGUGGGAAAAGUCAGCCAUAGCCUUAGCCUGUUCCCACAGUUAAGUACGCUCUUCUCAUCCACGAGGAUGAAACUCAGUAGGGUUUGGCCUGAACCCCUGGCUCAUGUGUGGGGUUGGACUGGCAGUAGAGACCAGACCAGCACAAGGCCUGCAAGACAUUCCUUUGAAAGAGAAAGUGUUUGAUGUCAUUUGUUAGGGCGCAGAAACCAAAUAAAGGCCGAGGACAAUGCUCAUUCCAUGGACGAGAGGUGAACUCCUCUGCUGGCAAGACAUUUUGAGUUCACUGAACGAGGGAGUUGACCCAGCUACAAGGAACCCUGAGGUCAACAGACCGCAGAAAACAGUAUGUGCAUGUAAUCCCAUGGGCUGUGGACAUGGAAAGGAAGGGAGAAAGACAUUCGUAAAGUCAAUCUUCACAGUUUUUGCAAUACCUCCUAUUCGCAGACUUCUGGAUUUCUGUUAUUGCACUCGUCGUGUGAUCUAUCUCAUGUAUCUGAUAGUUUUUCUGAAUAAUUGUUUUGAGUUGCAAACUCUUAUACACUUUAUUAAAAUGAACCUAAUAAAAGCAAAUGAUCUAUAUUUUGUAUUAUUUCUUCAGUCAGAUCUUCCUAGGAUUGAAGGCCUCCAUAAGUACCUUUUACAGUGCCACACCUAGUUUUGCGUUUUUAAGUUUCAAGGUUGGUUGGUUGGUUGGUUUCCAAUGCCAGCAUUGCUACUACCUGAGACCUACUUUCCAUUCUAGAUGUUACCUGGAGACAUAAAUGAAAUAAUAAAGACAGCGGGGCCAUAAGGACUGAGCCAAGAAAACCACAGAGCUCUCUGCUAUUGUAAACUUUACCGUGAGCCCCUAAAAUACGUUACCUGAAUAUGACCUGGGUAAUAUUCAGUCUUUCAAAACAAACCAAAAAAGCCCUUAAGAGAGACCAGCAUUAACAUAACAAAUUAGAGGGAAGUCUGGGAAACAAGCAGAAACAACAGACUCCUAACUAUAGAGAAUUAAGUGGAGGUUACCAGAGGGAAGGGGGGGGUGGCGUGGGUGAGCUAGGUGAAGGGGAUUAGGAGGACACUUACCUUGAGGAGCCCUAGGUCAUGUUUAGAAUUACCGAACCCUCUAUUGUACACCUGAGACUAAUAUAACAUUGUACGUUAAUGAUACUGGAAUUAAAACUUGGAAGUACAUAAAGUACACACAUACACGCAAAGAGAGGAAUUGGGGAGGAAUGAAUAAUUCCUAAGAAUCUUAAAAUCCCAUAGUGUGGGAGAGAAACUGCCUGCUUAUUUCCUCCCCAAAUUUGACAAAAAUAACCAUAAUAUUUGAGCUUUAAUGAGUUUGACAUCCAUCAUUUGGGGAGAAUUGGUGAAGGGCUGAGUUCAGGUCUGAGUUGAAAUUGGCAGUGGAAGAUCCAGGGAUUCCGAGAGUUCUGGUGUGACUCACAUGAGUAAAACCAAAGUUGCCUCCUUUCUCUGAAGAUUCACCGAGAUCUGGUUCGUGUAUGUCUAACGAUACGCUCCAGCUCGUCCUACGAUGCAAAGUUCCUGUGCUGCUGCUGUUUCAAGUUACCGUGGACCAAGAGGACAAUCGUCCUUGCCUGUGACUUGGACUGCUCUGGGGGUAAUCAGGGCCUUCUGCAAAUGUGGAUGGACUCAGCCCUGCCUUCCUGGGAGGGAGAGCCCAAGUCAGAAGCUCCAGUUCCCACAGGACGCUGUCGUUCGCAUUCGCCCCGGUGUGGCUCAUUUUUGCCAGGCCAGCCCCGAGACUGAUCCAUCCAGAUUAGCCCCCUGACAUACGUGUUCAGAAACACCGAGUGACACAGCCACGGUAGUUGAAAAUGUCCUUGAGCCUGCACGGGGCUGCGGAAGGAAGUGGUGCAGACGGGGUGGCCGGCUUGAGUUGGGAGAGGAGCCUCCGCUGCUGGGAGAGGGCAUCAUCAGGACGUCCCGGCGGUAGAUGGCAUCAGUGAAAGAGAAGACGUGGAAACCCGGAGUCGCCGUUCUCCGCGGCCCCGGCUCCGCCCAGGUCCUGCUGGCCAAGCGCCCGGCCAAGCUGGCGCGGUCACCGCGGGGACAGUUAAAGAGUUGUUAAAAGAUUUUAUUUAUUUAUUUAUUCACGAGAGACACAGAGCGGCAGAGACACAGGCAGAGGGAGAAGCAGGCUCCACCCAGGGAGCCCGACGUGGGACUCAAUCCCAGGUC